rnacentral:lncRNA from 1 species
ACAGAGGGCUCGCCCCCAAGCCCUGAGUUUUUGUUUCAGUAGCUCUGUCGUGGGCAGGGGUAGAGGGAAAAGGACGAGAAUUUUGUUCCCAGGUAAUGCUAAUACUGCUGGUUCAGGGACCAUACUUUGAGAACCACUGAUACAGAGGUCCAGCUCAAAUGCCACACUCUCCAUAAGGUUAUCCUUAAUCCCCCAAAUUGGAAGCCAAUAUUCCUUCUCUCCUUUUCUUCUAUAAAACUCUUGGUAUGAAUGAAAUCAUACGAUAUUUGUCUUUCACUGACUUACUUUGCUUCGCAUAAUACCCUCAAGAUCCAUCUACAUUGUCACAAAUGGUACUAUUUUUCCUUUUUUAUGGCUGAGUAGUAUUCCAUUGUGUGUGUAUAUACACAUACAGACACACACACACCCCACAUCUUCUUUAGGAUCAUGUUAUCUCUCCUGCCAACUUCCUGAUGUCACAUGUCUGCACCUCCAUCUAGAUUCCUUGAUGACAUGCCUUCCCUGUCCCAGAGCUGGAGGCAGUUCUGGAUGUGUGCACAGCAGCCUCUGGGGACCUUCCACAUUUUCCAUCUGCUGCUGGAGCCCAUUUUCUUGAACCUUAGUUUCCUGCCUGAAGACGGGAACAAUUUAUACCCCCUUCUCCAUGAGCUUGGAAGGCUGACAGAGAAGAUUAAGAUCAUUGCCAUCAAGUUUUUAUCUGCUAUAAGCAAAAACAGGAAACCAAGAAAUAAAGGCACAGCUUAGCAAUAGCUUCUGAGUGGGUAACAUGGGAGAAGUUUUUCUUAAAUCCUCUUUCCCAUGUACCUUCCCACCCACAUGUUCUUAGUCAGAUUUAUUUUUUGCAUAUCAGUUUCUGAGGAUGACAAGAAACUUGCCCUUUUCUUAACUAUGGUUUUCAGAAGCAGAUUAUCCUGCGCUUAGUCGAGACCUCUUACUGAACCCUUGGAAUAAAUAAUACCCUGGGCUUAGGAAGUGGGUGUUGAAUAGAGAUUUUAUGACUCAUAAUGGAGUGUCAAAAUAGCCACUGCUGAUGUAUGGGUUCCUUAUCAGUUUUGGAAAUGACCCUGGGUAGAGCCGCACUUUCCUCUUGUAUUGAAAUUCCGUGAUUGAGGGAAAGUUUUAACAAGAACGUUCAGCAUCUCUUGAUAUUUAAAAGUCCCACAUUGAAUGGUGGCAUUUUUCAAAGGGGACUUGAGUUUAGCCUGGAAAGGCAGCUGUCCUCAGAAGAGGGGACCAGAGCAUUUCUCCAGGGUGGGCAGCUCAGGACCUAAGCUGCCAGGAUGAAUGGAGAAAAAGAUUGGCAUUUCCCUAGCCUAUGUCUUGAGGUUCUUGUUCUCAAAGGAGGAUGAGGUCAGGGUUCUACGCUUUCUCCUAGAGUAGAAUGAGAGAUCUCUCAUAAUAUCCAGCAGUUAGCAACAUUUCUAGGGCUCAGACCUUUGCUAUUCUCUCUCCCCUGCUGGAGGAAAUGAAAGGUAUAGUUCUCUCCUUAGGUCUGAGGGCAGCCUCACCUUGAGCUGAGCCCUCUCUUGGGAUAUUAUCUCAACUACCACACUCUCAGCAUAGGCCCCAUUAGUAAAGUCUUCUCAUUAGUGAUUGUUUUGUAGUAAUGAGGUUCUAUGAUAUGCCCCUUAGAUUGUU